UACGGAGGAUGCAAGCGUUAUCCGGAAUGAUUGGGCGUAAAGGGUCCGCAGGUGGCAGUGUAAGUCUGCUGUCAAAGAAUGAGGCUUAACCUCAUCAAGGCAGUGGAAACUACACAGCUAGAGUACGGUCGGGGUAGAAGGAAUUCCUGGUGUAGCGGUGAAAUGCGUAGAGAUCAGGAAGAACACCGGUGGCGAAAGCGGCCUGCUGGGCAGUUGCUGACACUGAGGCGCGACAGCGUGGGGAGCAAACAGG
rnacentral:rRNA from 1 species